rnacentral:rRNA from 1 species
GACAGAGGGUGCAAACGUUGUUCGGAAUUACUGGGCGUAAAGCGCGUGUAGGCUGCUCCGCAAGUCGGAUGUGAAAGCCCUGGGCUCGAACCUAGGAAGUGCAUUCGAUACUGCGGAGCUGGAGUCCUGGAGAGGAAGGCGGAAUUCUCGGUGUAGAGGUGAAAUUCGUAGAUAUCGAGAGGAACACCGGUGGCGAAGGCGGGCCUUCUGGACAGUGACUGACGCUGAGACGCGAAAGCGUGGGGAGCAAACAGG